CACAGCCCCACAGGCCACCUACUGAGAAUUCUAUUAUAACAUCCAGUGUCUUGCAAGAAAGUGGGCUUUAGACUAAACAUUCCAUUGCUAAUCGGGACAUAGCCUAUUUCGACCUCAUUGAGAAAGCAAUGAAGAUGAAUGGAGAUGACCCUGUGUCCUUUCCACGGAUCCCUUGGUCAGUAUCUGCUCUCCAGGGUCCAUCAGAAAAUCAACAUGGAGGGCUAGGAACAAAUAAAUAGACUAGCUACCAAGAUUUCACGACUCUGAUUAUCCAGGAGCUGCGACAGGAGGGGACAGGCUGGAGAAGACUUUAUCAGACAGGUCUCCAGCUGUGGCCCCGGCCCAGAGGUCGCACUGAAGGAAGGCCUGGGAUGUGAGCAAGAUGUCUAGAUCCAAGCUUUGCCCUCAGUUAAGCUUUAUGUCUGGUGACAAAAAUGCAGCCCAGCAUCAAUGCCUCAGGUGGGAGCUUCCAUGAAGAGACAUCUAGAGUCUCCAAAUGCUGAACAAAUACUCAUGGAAAAGAACUUGGAAAUGGUCCAUCUGAACACGGUUCAGGUCAGUAAUCUCUGCACCUGACAUGGGACUCGAACUCAAAAUCCCGAGAUCAAGAUCACGAUCCUGAGAUCAAGCAUGCUCUACUGACUGACCAAGCCAGGCGACCCUCAUAUGUUUAGAUAUAGACCCAUUUAUGUAUUUUAUUUAAAAUCUCAUUUACUGGUAGAUCUUGUAAUUGUAGAUCUCCAUCCCAAAGAAAAGUGAUGUGACUAUAUAACAAUAGCAAAUUCCUUCCCUUAAAAAC